GACGAACGCUGGCGGCGUGCUUAACACAUGCAAGUCGAACGGAAAGGCCCUGCUUUUGUGGGGUGCUCGAGUGGCGAACGGGUGAGUAACACGUGAGUAACCUGCCCUUGACUUUGGGAUAACUUCAGGAAACUGGGGCUAAUACCGGAUAGGAGCUCCUGCUGCAUGGUGGGGGUUGGAAAGUUUCGGCGGUUGGGGAUGGACUCGCGGCUUAUCAGCUUGUUGGUGGGGUAGUGGCUUACCAAGGCUUUGACGGGUAGCCGGCCUGAGAGGGUGACCGGCCACAUUGGGACUGAGAUACGGCCCAGACUCCUACGGGAGGCAGCAGUGGGGAAUAUUGCACAAUGGGCGGAGGCCUGAUGCAGCAACGCCGCGUGCGGGAUGACGGCCUUCGGGUUGUAAACCGCUUUCGCCUGUGACGAAGCGGGAGUGACGGUAAUGGGUAAAGAAGCACCGGCUAACUACGUG
rnacentral:rRNA from 1 species